CCAAAUUUACUAUAAAAGGACGAUAAUUUUUCUAAUACAAUUAUUGACUUAAAAUAAGCUAGAAGCCAGAACAAGCAAGAGAAACUGUUGAAGUAUUUAAAGAUGAAGACUGAACUUGUUGUCUAUGUGCUGAUUGUAAUCUUUGUUGGAGCCACUCAAGCACUGAUCUCUUGUGGGAAUGGAUGGACAUGUCCGGAAGGCCAAACUUGUUGCAGACACCCAAACGGUUUCUUCACGUGCUGUCCCCUUAGAAGUGGAGUAUGUUGUUGUAAUGGGAAAACUUGUUGUCCCUCACUCUCAGUGUGCAGUUCCAACUCAGCGUUUUGCUACUCUUGCCCCUCUUUUGCUGCUCUAUUAUUACCAGAAAAAAGUGGCGGGAUUCCCGUAGCAACCACGACCAAGGCUAUUUACAAAGAGGAACAAAAUUAAGGAUGAUUUAAUGUGGAUAUACUUUGGUUUUUCAAUUCUACAACAUAUUGUUCGGGGUUAUCUAUAAAGUAACAAGAAAGAUCAAAUUUCUAAAUCAUAUGAAGGGAUUUACAUAUAAUGAAAUAUUGCAUUAAUUCAUUUUAAUGCGUUAAUCGUUACUUAGUAUUUUCAGACUAGUUAUAUUAAAAUUAUACAUCUUACAAAUUAGAAUGAAUGUAUUGGAGCAUUUAAUUGCAAAAUAAUAAUAGCAACAUAAUUCUUAACUUUUUUCAACGUUAAAUCAAUAAAUAUAUAUAUAUUGUAUAUCUCUUAAGAACUGUUUGCAAUUAGAUGGGGCUUUAAUUUCUGUUUCAUGCAACAAGUUGUUUUAAAAUAUAUAUUUGUAAGAUACAAAUAUCUAUAUAUCUUGGUCAAUUUAUUGAAAUCAACCAUACUACAACGUCCAUAAGAACGAACGUGUGUCUUUUAUACUUCUUGAAUUAACUUGUAAACUUUAGUCUAUAAAUUAUGUGUUUAUAUAUGAAGAGUAGAGUUGAUACGAAUAAUACACUAUUUAAUUCGUGAUUUGACUAACUGAUAUCAGUUUGUGGAAAACAAAGAUUUAAAAACUGUGUAUUAAUAUAAAUAUUUCGAUGUGUUCUUUUAAAAUAACUGCUGAUACUGUAUUACAAAAUAUUUCUAAUAAACUGAUAUUUUCGAACAACAGA